ensembl:misc_RNA Metazoa_SRP Metazoan signal recognition particle RNA
GCUGGGUGUGGUGGUGGGCACCUGUAAUCCCAGCUACUCGGGAAGCUGAGGCAGGAGAAUCGCUUGAACCUGGGAGGCGGAGGUUGCAGUGAGCCAAGAUUGUGCCACUGCACUCCAGCCUGGGUGACAGAGCGAGACUCUGUCUCAA